rnacentral:rRNA from 1 species
GACGUAGGGCGCAAGCGUUGUCCGGAUUUAUUGGGCGUAAAGAGCUCGUAGGCGGCUUGUUGCGUCGUCCGUGAAAACCUGUGGCUCAACUACAGGCUUGCGGUCGAUACGGGCGGGCUGGAGUUCGGUAGGGGAGACUGGAAUUCCUGGUGUAGCGGUGAGAUGCGCAGAUAUCAGGAGGAACACCGGUGGCGAAGGCGGGUCUCUGGGCCGAUACUGACGCUGAGGAGCGAAAGCGUGGGGAGCGAACAGG